rnacentral:rRNA from 2 species
GGGAAACGGGUUAAUAUUCCCGUACUUGGUGUUACUGCGAAGGGGGGACGGAGAAGGCUAUGUUGGCCGGGCGACGGUUGUCCCGGUUUAAGCGUGUAGGUGUGUGUUCCAGGUAAAUCCGGUUCACUUUAACACUGAGGCGUGAUGACGAGGCACUACGGUGCUGAAGCAACAAAUGCCCUGCUUCCAGGAAAAGCCUCUAAGCAUCAGGUAACAUCAAAUCGUACCCCAAACCGACACAGGUGGUCAGGUAGAGAAUACCAAGGCGCUUGAGAGAACUCGGGUGAAGGAACUAGGCAAAAUGGUGCCGUAACUUCGGGAGAAGGCACGCUGACAC